rnacentral:rRNA from 1 species
AAAACUCCCUUGACGGUACUUAAUGAAUAAGCCCUGGCUAAUUAUGUGCCAGCAGCCGCGGUAAUACAUAAGGGGCGAGCGUUAUCCGGAAUUAUUGGGCGUAAAGGGUGCGUAGGCGGUUUAAUAAGUCUAUAGUUUAAUUUCAGCGCUUAACGCUGUUGCGCUAUAGAAACUGUUUUACUAGAGUGAGUUAGAGGCAAGCGGAAUUCCAUGUGUAGCGGUAAAAUGCGUAAAUAUAUGGAGGAACACCAGAGGCGUAGGCGGCUUGCUGGGACUUUACUGACGCUGAGGCACGAAAGCGUGGGGAGCAAACAGGAUUAGAUACCCUGGUAGUCCACGCCGUAAACGAUGAGUACUAAGUGUCGGGUAAAACCGGUACUGAAGUUAACACAUUAAGUACUCCGCCUGAGUAGUACGUACGCAAGUAUGAAACUUAAAGGAAUUGACGGGACUCCGCACAAGCGGUGGAUCAUGUUGUUUAAUUCGAAGAUACACGAAAAACCUUACCAGGUCUUGACAUUUUCUUGCGAAGUUAUAGAAAUAUAAUGGAGGUUAUCAGGAAAACAGGUGGUGCAUGGUUGUCGUCAGCUCGUGUCGUGAGAUGUUAGGUUAAGUCCUAAAACGAGCGCAACCCUUGUCGUUAAUUGCCAGCAUGUAAUGAUGGGGACUUUAACGAGACUGCCAAUGAAAAAUUGGAGGAAGGUGGGGAUUACGUCAAAUCAUCAUGCCCCUUAUGAUCUGGGCUACAAACGUGAUACAAUGGUUGAUACAAAGAGUAGCUGAAACGCGAGUUCUUAGCCAAUCUCACAAAAUCAUCUCCAGUUUCGGAAAU